GACGAACGCUGGCGGCGUGCUUAACACAUGCAAGUCGAACGGAGUGGCGAACGGGUGAGUAACACGUGGGUGACCUGCCCUGCACUUCGGGAUAAGCCUGGGAAACUGGGUCUAAUACCGGAUAGUGUGGGAUGGGCCCGCGGCCUAUCAGCUUGUUGGUGGGGUAAUGGCCUACCAAGGCGGCGACGGGUAUCCGGCCUGGGAGGGUGGACGGCCACAUUGGGACGGGUACACGGCCCAGACGCCUACGGGAGGCAGCAGUGGGGAAUAUUGCACAAUGGGCGGAAGCCUGAUGCAGCGACGCCGCGUGGGGGAUGACGGCCUUCGGGUUGUAAAGCUCUGUUAAUCGGGACGGCGAAUAGUGAGAAGGAUUGACGGUACCGGAAUAGAAAGCCACGGCUAACUACGUGCCAGCCGCCGCGGUAAUAC
rnacentral:rRNA from 1 species